UACGUAGGUGGCAAGCGUUGUCCGGAUUUACUGGGCGUAAAGAGCGCGCAGGCGGUCGUUAAAGUCGCGUGUGAAAGCCCCCGGCUCAACUGGGGAGGGUCACGCGAUACUGAUCGACUCGAAGGCAGGAGAGGGUAGUGGAAUUCCCGGUGUAGUGGUGAAAUGCGUAGAUAUUAGGAAGAACACCGGUGGCGAAGGCGGCCCACUGGAUCGGUACUGACGCUGAGGUGCGAAAGCGUGGGGAGCAAACAGG
rnacentral:rRNA from 1 species